UGCCAUUUGUUUCAGAUUAAU
rnacentral:piRNA from 1 species